rnacentral:tRNA from 1 species
GGGUGGUUAGCUCAGCGGUAGAGCGUCUCGUUUACACCGAGAGGGCCGGGAGUUCGAUCCUCUCACCACCCACCA